CCUACGGGUGACUGCAGUGGGGAAUAUUGGGCAAUGGGCGCAAGCCUGACCCAGCAACGCCGCGUGAAGGAAGAAGGCUUUCGGGUUGUAAACUUCUUUUCUCAGGGACGAAGAAAGUGACGGUAUCUGAGGAAUAAGCCACGGCUAACUACGGGCCAGCAGCCGGGGUAAUACGUAGGUGGCAAGCGUUAUCCGGAUUUUUUGGGGGGAAAGGGCGUGUAGGCGGGGGCGGAAAGCAGAUGUUAAAACUCAGGGCUCAACCCUGUGCCUGCAUUUGAAACUGUGUUUCUUGAGUGCUGGAGAGGCAGUCGGAAUUCCGAGUGUAGUGGUGAAAUGCGUAGAUAUACGGAGGAACACCAGUGGCGAAGGCGGAUUGCUGGACAGUAACUGACGCUGAGGCGCGAAAGCGUGGGGAGCAAACAGGAUUAGAUACCCUGGUAGUC
rnacentral:rRNA from 1 species